rnacentral:rRNA from 1 species
AUUGAACGCUGGCGGCAGGCCUAACACAUGCAAGUCGAACGGUAACAGGAAGAAGCUUGCUUCUUUGCUGACGAGUGGCGGACGGGUGAGUAAUGUCUGGGAAACUGCCUGAUGGAGGGGGAUAACUACUGGAAACGGUAGCUAAUACCGCAUAACGUCGCAAGACCAAAGAGGGGGACCUUCGGGCCUCUUGCCAUCGGAUGUGCCCAGAUGGGAUUAGCUAGUAGGUGGGGUAACGGCUCACCUAGGCGACGAUCCCUAGCUGGUCUGAGAGGAUGACCAGCCACACUGGAACUGAGACACGGUCCAGACUCCUACGGGAGGCAGCAGUGGGGAAUAUUGCACAAUGGGCGCAAGCCUGAUGCAGCCAUGCCGCGUGUAUGAAGAAGGCCUUCGGGUUGUAAAGUACUUUCAGCGGGGAGGAAGGGAGUAAAGUUAAUACCUUGGCUCAUUGACGUUACCCGCAGAAGAAGCACCGGCCAACUCCGUG